UGGGGGAUUUUGCACAAUGGGCGCAAGCCUGAUGCAGCGACGCCGCGUGAGGGAUGAAGGCCUUCGGGUUGUAAACCUCUUUCGCUGGGUUGAAAGGCCAUGCUUUGGGUGUGGUUGAUUUGAACUGGUAAAGAAGUACCGGCUAACUACGUGCCAGCAGCCGCGGUAAUACGUAGGGUACUAGCGUUGUCCGGAUUUAUUGGGCGUAAAGGGCUUGUAGGUGGUUUGUCGCGUCUGUCGUGAAAUCCUGUGGCUUAACCAUGGGCUUGCGGUGGGUACGGGCAGGCUUGAGUGCGGUAGGGGUGACUGGAAUUCCGGGUGUAGCGGUGGAAUGCGCAGAUAUCAGGAGGAACACCGGUGGCGAAGGCGGGUCUCUGGGCCGUUACUGACACUGAGGAGCGAAAGCGUGGGGAGCGAACAGG
rnacentral:rRNA from 1 species